ACCACUUGGUCCUGGAGGCUUGAUUCUGGUGAUCCGAAUGGCAAUACAUACGGUGUUGACAGCUGUAUCCAUAUGAACAGUGGUUGAUACUCAUCUUUUCCUCAAUUAUUAACAUGAAUAAAGUAAGGAAACUCGGAGUACAUCGAGUGAGUAAACAUGACACUGAAGAAGACGCUUUAACAUCAAUCACACAAAAAUACAUUUUCAGACCCUCAAAUAAAGCCUGCUUUUCACACUUAUAUACAACAUAUAAUGUGGACAUGCAGAUAUAAAUUAGAUUAAGAAUUAACUAUGUAUAGAAUAUGAAAUACACGCAUUGCGUCACUUCAAAUUAGCGGUAUUAACUAAUAUUUCGAAACUGAGAGUUAUCUCCCUUCCGUUAGUGCCGCCUGUUGCCUAGCUACCGAUCUCAGUAAAGCGACGCCAUUUUGUCUUGCUUCAUCUGCUGUGUCUCUCCUUUGUCAAUCUAUAAUCUACCUUGGAUAUUGAGCAUCGCUUGAGUUUUUCAAGAUGCAGUCAAGUGGUUAUGUUCAAGUGAAGAAGAAACAGAAACCCUCCCAGCCGUCCUUCCUGAGAAGCACGAUGUCCCGUCCCGUGUCAUCCGAGUGGUCAAAAGCGCCUUCACCUCCAGCAAAAACGUUUAAUGAAAGCUUUCCUUGGAACAAGUUCCAGGAUAUUUUGUUGGGUUCAUGAACUUUUCAUCUUGUUAAUUAUUUCCAUAUGGUUUCAGUUGUAUAAAUAAAUGUUUUUGUUGUUCAAA
rnacentral:misc_RNA from 1 species